AUUGAACGCUGGCGGCAUGCCUAACACAUGCAAGUCGAACGGCAGCAUGGUGUAGUGCUUGCACUACACUGAUGGCGAGUGGCGGACGGGUGAGUAACGCGUAGGAAUCUACCUUUAAGUUGGGGACAACCCGGGGAAACUCGGGCUAAUACCGAAUAGCAACUCUGCGGAGGAAAGCUGGGGACCUGGUAACAGGCCUGGCGCUUGAAGAGGAGCCUGCGUACGAUUAGCUAGUUGGCGGGGUAAAGGCCCACCAAGGCGACGAUCGUUAGCUGGUCUGAGAGGAUGACCAGCCACACUGGGACUGAGACACGGUCCAGACUCCUACGGGAGGCAGCAGUGGGGAAUAUUGGACAAUGGGCGCAAGCCUGAUCCAGCCAUGCCGCGUGUGUGAAGAAGGCCUUCGGGUUGUAAAGCACUUUUGUCCGGAAAGAAAUCCAAUCGAUUAAUACUCGGUUGGGAUGACGGUACCGGAAGAAUAAGCACCGGCUAACUUCGUGCCAGCCGCCGCGGUAAAAC
rnacentral:rRNA from 1 species